rnacentral:ncRNA from 2 species
GCCUGUCACCAGGGGUGCCCGUAUCCGCGUGAGGCGGGGGCUGAGAGGGCGAGCGUGCCCAACCCUAGGAACCUGAUCCGGGUCAUUCCGGCGGAGGGAGCGUGACGGGUGCCGAAC